GAUGAACGCUAGCGGCAGGCCUAACACAUGCAAGUCGAGGGGUAGAGAAUUAGCCUAGCUAAUUCUUGAGACCGGCGCACGGGUGCGUAACGCGUAUGCAACCUACCUUUUACAGGGGGAUAGCCCGGAGAAAUCCGGAUUAAUACCCCAUAGUAUUGUGAGAUCACCUGGUUUUACAAUUAAAGUUUCGGCGGUAAAAGAUGGGCAUGCGUCCUAUUAGCUAGAUGGAGUGGUAACGGCACCCCAUGGCAACGAUAGGUAGGGGUCCUGAGAGGGAGAUCCCCCACACUGGUACUGAGACACGGACCAGACUCCUACGGGAGGCAGCAGUGAGGAAUAUUGGACAAUGGUCGCAAGACUGAUCCAGCCAUGCCGCGUGCAGGAAGACGGCCCUAUGGGUUGUAAACUGCUUUUGUACAGGAAGAAUAAGCUCUACGUGUAGAGUGAUGACGGUACUGUACGAAUAAGCACCGGCUAACUCCG
rnacentral:rRNA from 1 species